rnacentral:rRNA from 1 species
GACGAACGCUGGCGGUGUGCUUAACACAUGCAAGUCGAACGGUAAGGCCCUUUCGGGGGUACACGAGUGGCGAACGGGCGCGUAACACGUGAGUAACCUGCCCUCAUCUCUGGGAUAACAGUCGGAAACGGUUGCUAAUACUGGAUAUGAGCUUGCAAGGCAUCUUGUGGGUUGGAAAGAUUUUUUUGGUUGGGGAUGGACUCGCGGCCUAUCAGCUUGUUGGUGAGGUAGUGGCUCACCAAGGCUUCGACGGGUAGCCGGCCUGAGAGGGCGACCGGCCACAUUGGGACUGAGAUACGGCCCAAACUCCUACGGGAGGCAGCAGUGGGGAAUAUUGCACAAUGGACGGAAGUCUGAUGCAGCAACGCCGCGUGCGGGAUGACGGCCUUCGGGUUGUAAACCGCUUUCAAUUGUGACGAAGCUUUUUGUGACGGUAGCAGUAGAAGAAGCACCGGCUAACUACGUG